UGAGUAACACGUGGGUGAUCUGCCUUGCACUUCGGGAUAAGCUUGGGAAACUGGGUCUAAUACCGGAUAGGACAGCUGUUUAGUGUCAGUUGUGGAAAGUUUUUUCGGUGCAAGAUGAGCUCGCGGCCUAUCAGCUUGUUGGUGGGGUAAUGGCCUACCAAGGCGUCGACGGGUAGCCGGCCUGAGAGGGUGUACGGCCACAUUGGGACUGAGAUACGGCCCAGACUCCUACGGGAGGCAGCAGUGGGGAAUAUUGCACAAUGGGCGGAAGCCUGAUGCAGCGACGCCGCGUGGGGGAUGAAGGCCUUCGGGUUGUAAACUCCUUUCGACAGGGACGAAGCGUAAGUGACGGUACCUGUAUAAGAAGCACCGGCUAACUACGUGCCAGCAGCCGCGGUAAUACGUAGGGUGCGAGCGUUGUCCGGAAUUACUGGGCGUAAAGAGCUCGUAGGUGGUUUGUCGCGUCGUCUGUGAAAUUCCGGGGCUUAACUCCGGGCGUGCAGGCGAUACGGGCUGACUUGAGUGCUGUAGGGGAGACUGGAAUUCCUGGUGUAGCGGUGAAAUGCGCAGAUAUCAGGAGGAACACCGAUGGCGAAGGCAGGUCUCUGGGCAGUAACUGACGCUGAGGAGCGAAAGCAUGGGUAGCGAACAGGAUUAGAUACCCUGGUAGUCCAUGCCGUAAACGGUGGGCGCUAGGUGUAGGGGGCUUCCACGUCUUCUGUGCCGUAGCUAACGCAUUAAGCGCCCCGCCUGGGGAUACGCCGCAAG
rnacentral:rRNA from 1 species